rnacentral:lncRNA from 1 species
UCUUACUGAAAUGUUUAUGAAAUGGUGUCAAGAAUUGGCAUGAAAACAUAUUGGGUAGAACAUGCAAGGAAAUUAAUUAUAGAAGCCAAAGGGUCAUAAAAAUUUUCAUUAAUUUCACAGUAUCCCUACAUGGCACACUUUCAGAUGUCUUUCAUGUCUCUCUCUGGCAAUGUUGAUUCUACUAUAGGACAUGGGUUGGAUGUAAUGAGUGUCUGAUAUCAAUUUUGAUAUUCCAACAUAAAUAAUCAAUUCUUGCUGAACUAAAUUGUAGUAAGUUGACCAACCAGUUGGAGCCACACUUAUUAAUCAUCUUUAGAAUGAGCUCAUGGAGCUCAUUACGUCAUAAGCAUGAUGGGAAUAGGAAAGGAGUCAUGCAAGAGCCUUAGCCUUAGUAAUUCACCUAUUUGGAAUAUUACUUUACUCUUGGGUUCUUUUUCUGUAAAGCAAAGCCAAUAAACUUCUCUUAUUUCAUUUGUUUGAGGAUUAAGCAAGCAAAAUAAUUCAGCAAAAUAGCAAGCCAAUUUUUUGACAAUAAAAAUUUUUAAUAAACUGUGAGUAGAAAUGAUGUGUGAUAAAUUUGCAAAUAGCCAGCAUAUUUGGCCAAUAACAUUUAGAAUAUUAAAGAAAUUCAUAUUGUAUUCAUCCAAAGUCCAGCAAAAAUUUUGUAAGUUUUCUAUUCUCAUGUCAAGGAGAUUUUAAAAAUCAACAAUAAUAGUACAAGAAGUGAAUGUAAUAUGUGUUUGCUCUGUUCUCAAAUAUAUUUUAUGUGUGUCACAUUUGUUAAUCUGAUUAACAAAAAGGAAAAUUAUUUAUACAAUAGAUGCAUAAUCCAUCAAGAAUCAAAUAAAUACUAUUUGCUUUAGCAAU